UUACCCGCUGAACUUAAGCAUAUCAAUAAGCGGAGGA
rnacentral:rRNA from 8 species